rnacentral:misc_RNA from 1 species
GUACAGGGUACUUUGCCGAAGACAAAGAAUAACACAUUAGAUGAUUCAUCCAGGUAGUACACAUGUGAAUAGAUUCAUGUUUAUUUCACAAUACAAGGGACAGAAGAACAAACGUAUUCAUCUUUAUUUGAUUCCUCGGGAACAGUUUGAUAUAUACCUGAUACUGAAAAGAUGUCGCAGCCAGCGUUAUCAAAGAAACUGACCAGUAUAAACAUCCAAUCCAAGGUACAUUCAAGGAACAAUCUUGCAGGCCUUCAUCUUGUCAAUCCACUUGUUGAAGGACUUCACUGUGUCGCGGAAGCCGAGGAAUCCGUGCUCCUUGCUCUUGUUCAUGCUAUCCAAAAGCUUCCAGUUGGCGCCAUGCUCAUAGACCACGACGUCGAUAAGCCACCAAUCGGCAACGUCGCGGAGGCGUGUCUCCACGAGCCCGUUCUCCCUGACAAUCUCCGCCCACACCGCCUCUUUCCCGGCCAUGGCCUCCGACACCUUGAACUGCUUCUCCUCGCCGUCGUACCCGGUCCACUCCAGCCCGAAACGAGCGGCGAGUACCGGCCACAGCGUCUUCCAGUUGUAAAGGUCUCCGUUGUUGCUGUUGAACGCCUGGUUCUUGGCCAUGGGGUCGACGGCCGCCCAGAUGUGCUGCUCGGCGAUGAGGUCCGCGUCGGAGGCGUUGCUGAAGCUCUCCCAGGAGCCAAGGCACCCCGGCCAGCGCAGAGCGACCCCCUCCUUGCGGCAGAUGGCGGCGUACACGCACAGGCUGCACACGACGUUGAAGAAGCUCCGCGGAGAGAAGCCGAGGAUGAGGUUGGGGCGGUGCACGGACCAGCUCACGGCGCCGCCGCGCCGGGAGACUGCGGCGAAGAGGACGUCCUCUUGGUCGUAGUAGAAGUUUGGGCAGUCCAGGCGCGGCACGUCCUCGGUGUAGGGCGGGUCCGGAGUGGGGAUCUUGCCAAUGAGCUCGAACGGUCCCAGGUAGUGCUUGGUGCCCGUCUGGAGCGAGACGUGGGCGAGGGCGGGGCAGUUGGGGACGACGACGGAGAGGACGUUGCGGAGCAUGGCGGAGUUGGCCUCC